CCCGGAACCAGUAGCUGCAAACCCAGAGAGGGGAGCGGAGCUGGACUCCUGGCUGGGGGUUCGUGAUGCGGUGCACACGGAAGAGGACCUGAGGCCUCAACCCCCCAGUGUCCUCUUCCCUAGGGGAGAGGGAUCCGCAGGGAGACAGGGAUUGGACCUAAUGAGCUCGUCCCCUCCCCCUCGCCCACCAUCCGCUGUGUCAGUCCUCCGACUUCCAAGGACAUCGCCGUGUUCCCUCACCCCGCAGACAUUUUGGGGCGCCAGCCUAAAGAGCUAAGUCUACCCAGAAUCUUCCUCUCCUUUUUAUCAGCGGACUUUCUAGCCUUCAAGGGGUUUCUUGAACCUGUGGCUCAGAGCCAUACAACCCGAGCUGGAGGAUGCCGGAGAUGCUUCCUGGCCUGACUUUGUAGCUUAGGGGAGAAGCAGAGCCCGGGAGGGACUGUCCUCGGGUGGCAGAGCCAUUUCCACUGGGACCCUCCCUCCCCACAGUGGGGGUAAAAGGGAUCAAGGCGAAAAUGGAGACGAAGUGCUUUGUAAACCAUAAAGCUCGAAGAAAGGAAAGGGCCUUUUAUUUAUUUAUAACCAAUAGUAGAAGGCAAGAGCUGCGGAGGACAGCCCACUCGCAAGGCCUGAUGGCUGGGAGAGGUCAGAUUUAGAAGUCAGUACUCAGCGAUAAAAGGAUUCAAUUUGGAACAUGAAAAAGACAACAUCUCUGACAUCUUUCGUAGGAAAAAUAAGAAAUUAUGGGCUCUACUUUAAAAAGAGGAACAUCCGGACACAUGCCACUGCAUACCUGAACUGUGAAGACAUCAUGUGAAGCAAGGUAAGCCAGUUCCUGAAGAGCAAACUGUGUGACUGCACUCACAUGUGACGCCUGCCAUGGUCACGCACAGGGGAGCCCGACAAGCACAGGAGGUCGUGGGGCAGCAGGGGAGAGGGGCCGGAGGUACUGUUAGAGGCGUGGGGUUGUAAUUUGGGAAGAAAGUGUUGGAGGUGGGUGAUGUCGAUGGCUGAACAGCAGUGUGAAUGCUCUGAAUGUCACCUGCGUAUGUACAUGUGGUUAAUGUGGAGAGUUGUUGUAUAGUUUACUACAGUUUAAAAAAUAAUAAUACAGAAUGAUGGGCUUCUAAGGAUGUAUUGUAAACUUGUGAGAAUGGAGGGGACCGGAAGCAGAAUGGGGAGGGGGGGCUUCACCAACUUGAACGUUCACUUUUUUGAAUAAGGGAAACAGCUGGAGCAAGAAUGACCCAUGGUCCCACGGGUGAAGGUUGCUGGUGAUGCGAUUCUCUGAACUGUCCUUAUUUCCCAAGAAGCCUUUCAAGUUAAAAGUAAAAAUAUGGACUAAUUCUCUCUUUUUUUUUGGUACGGGGAUGGAACUGAGGUCCUUGCACUUGUGCAGCAGGCAGCGAAACCACUGAGCUAAAUCCCGGCCCUAUGGACUAAUUCUUUUUCUUUUUUAUUAGAAAGAAGAUGGGUCUGAAGAAAAACUGCCUGGAAGUGUCGGAUUUCUCAUCCCACUCUUCACCCUCAAGGUCACCCGAAGUGCAAAGGACAAGUAUGGCAGAACCAAGAGCAGAUGGCCUGGAGGCUGCACGUGUGGCGGACACUGGGGUAGAGGAGCAGAGCCUGGUGCAGCCAGUUGGGAUGGGAGACAGCGGGCAGGAUCCUCUUCUGAUGACACAGGUCAGAUGGGCAAGGGCUGGCAGAAGAUGCUGACUCUGACUCGCCUGUGUUGGCAUACGCCUGUCAUCCCAGCUACUGGGGAGGGAGGCUGAGGCAGGAGGAUUGCAAGUUUGAGGCCAGCCUGGGCAAUUUAUGGAGACCCUACUCCAAAAUAAAAAGGGCUAGGGAUGUAGCUCAGUGGUGGAGCAUUUGCCUACCGUGUGCAGGGUUCUGGGUUCAAACCCUAGUACCAAAAGAAAAAAAAAAAGGAAGAAGAAAGAAGAAGAGAUUUUUUAAAAGGAAAAAGGGCUGAGGAUAUAGCUCAGUGUUAAGGCGCUGGGUUCAAUCCGCAGUACAAAAAGGAAGAGAGAAAGAGAGAGAGAAGAAAGAAAGAAAGAAAGGAAGAAAGAAAGAAAGAAAGAAAGAAAGAAAGAAAGAAAGAAAGAAAGAAGAAUGGGAGAGGGUGGAAUAGGAGAAGGCAACAGGCCAGGUGUGGUGGUGCACUCCUGAAAUCCCAGCACUUGGGAGGCUGAGAUAGGAAGAUCAUGAUGAAUUCAAGGCCAGUCUCAAAAAAAAGAACUACUUGUAUCAAAAAAAAAAAGAAAAGAAAAGAGAAGCAAAGGCCAAAAUCCAAAAAACAAAAAGAUGACUGGGAGCCAGCCCCUCUUGGGCACCCAAUACAUAAGAUCCAGAGAGCAGAUGAAAAUAGAAACUAUCAAAACACUGAAAAGUGUAUUAUUAGCAGUUGGAGCAGGCAGUAGAAAGAGUUCGUUGAAUUUGCUGAUGGCAGAACACAUUGCCUAAUCUUUGCAGUUCUUUUUUCCUUUUCCCUUGACCUCCCUGCACGUCUCCGGAGCUCCCAUGGCUACGGCUGUCUGCACUGCAAAAUACAUAUUUACAGGCCUUCUAAGCCCGGCUAAAUAUAGGCUUUCCUCUACAGCAACUGAUGAUUUGAAGAAAUUUCUUCUCUCUCCCACCCUUUCCCCCAACCCCCAACACACACGCACUCAUGCGCGCGCGCACACACACACACGCACGCACGCACGCACGCACGCACGAAUGCACACAUGUUCACGGGCCCCGACUCCCUCUCAGUCACCCGCCUGGUCUCCAAGGUGCAUCCAAACUUUCCCAGAGCCCUGGAGUGCAGUGGGGAGACUGAUGGAAGGAAGGGGACAAACCAGCAAGAACGGGGAGCAGGCGGUCUCCCCUCUGUGAGAGCACCUCGGGGCCCCUCUCCCCGCAGGUACAGUGGUCCCAACUCACCGCAGGG
rnacentral:lncRNA from 1 species